CUUUGCUUUUUCGACCUCCAAGUUUAUGAAGAUGAAUGGGGUAAAGCCAUCUCUGGGGCACUAGGACUCUUAAGUUCCAUAAUUGUAAAGCUGUUAGAAAUUAUUUCAGAAAACUUGCAGUGCACGUGUGUUAUACAGAGAGGAGUUUGUAUUUGGAAAGCUUCGUGCUGGGAUGGCUCUGACGCUGUGGGAGCCCUGCAGAUGGAGAGUAUCCUGUUUUAUCCAAUACAAUUUAGAUAUCCCAGUGCUUUCCUGACAGGACGGUUAGUAGAACUGAGUCUCACUAGUGAAGCGGGGAGAAAGGUAGAGCAGACGGGAGGUAGUGCUUGUUUUGGUCCUCAGGACAGAGCCUGAGUAUGUUAUGUUCUAUUACUGACAAGUAGCAAAACUUUUAAAAAAUAAAGCUCAUUAGAAUUGCUAUAUAAUCAUACAAAUCUGGAUUUCUCACUUUUGUUGUUAAAAUAUAUUAUUAGUGCUGUUUUCUAAAUGUGUUAAGACACAGUCCACUGGUAUACAUACCAAGUUUUACAACCUUUGAAUGUUGAGCAUUUUAAUUAAGAACUUGUAGCUAGGCUGAGCUCUGUCUUCCCAGCUGUGUUCCUCGUGUGGCCCUAGGCAGACUUUUGUGCAUUCCUACGUGAAUUCUUGCCACCUCACAGCUUGAUCAAAUUGUAGCGUUAGAGAACUAAGUUCAAACCUGAGUGUGUUUUCAGCCCCUGGCUGGGGCUUCCGUUAGGCUCGUGUUCCCGUGAGGCGCACAGGUCUCUGAACGUGGCCGUCCACUCCACUCCUGCAGCUCCAGAGACAAAGAACAGAUCCCAUCAAAGCCACGUAAUUACAAGGUCUUUAAGGCCAGUGCCUCCCAGUUUUCUGUGUGGUUGUACCAGCUCAUCAUUUGGUGAUAUUUAAACCAGAUGGGAACAGCUCAUCCCUGCCAGGAUUUAACUUGGACAAGGAGAGCAAGGCUGUCUUAGGAUUUGUACUCUGAUAUCUUUUUAUUU
rnacentral:lncRNA from 1 species